CUUCCAUCAAACUAGAUAUAAAUUACUCUUUUGACAAAGUCAUUUUUUUGUUGUUGUUUAUUUAUUCUUUUAGUUUCACCGAUACUUAUAUUAUCCUCCCUAUGUCUUCCAAGGGACCAGAUAUAAAAAUGUUCUCAGCUUUUUAAAAAAAAAACACUUCAAAUUUUAUAUAAAGCUCCUUUAGUGUGUCCCAACUCUGACUACUGAUAGUUUAGAAAUUGAAUUUAUUCAUUUUAUUUGGUGUAUCUAAUCUAAGAUAUAGGUAUAACAGAUAUAUUCUAUAAACAGUUUCCCAACUCUGACUACUGAUAGUUUAGAAAUUGAAUUUAUUCAUUUUAUUUGGUGUAUCUAAUCCAAGAUGUAGGUAUAACAGAUGUAUUCUAUAAACAGUUUCCCAGGAAAUAACGGUUACUUUUAUUUUGCUUGAAUCUAAGCUAACGCAAUGAUCUGGAGAAGUUAGGUGGUUCAGCAUAAACCAGGUUGAGAUUUAACUAUACUGGGUCUUCCUCAGGUAGACCUACCUUUUCAUAUCUGCUCUACCACUUAAAAACACAAACAUAAUAAGUUUAAUAUAAA
rnacentral:lncRNA from 1 species